rnacentral:rRNA from 1 species
UACGUAGGGGGCAAGCGUUGUCCGGAUUUAUUGGGCGUAAAGAGCGUGUAGGCGGCCUGGAAGGUCCGUUGUGAAAACUCGAGGCUCAACCUCGAGACGCCGAUGGAAACCAUCAGACUAGAGUCCGGAAGAGGAGAGUGGAAUUCCUGGUGUAGCGGUGAAAUGCGCAGAUAUCAGGAAGAACACCCGUGGCUAAGGCGGCUCUCUAGUACGGUACUGACGCUGAGACGCGAAAGCGUGGGGAGCGAACAGG